rnacentral:rRNA from 1 species
UUUAUUGGAGAGUUUGAUCCUGGCUCAGGAUGAACGCUGGCGGCGUGCCUAAUACAUGCAAGUCGAGCGAAUGGAUUAAGAGCUUGCUCUUAUGAAGUUAGCGGCGGACGGGUGAGUAACACGUGGGUAACCUGCCCAUAAGACUGGGAUAACU